AAUAUUGGACACUGGGGGCAACCCUGAUCCAGCCAUGCCGCGUGUGUGAAGAAGGUCUUCGUAUUGUAAAGCACUUUAAGUUGGGAGGAAGGGCUUUAGGUUAAUACCCUGAAGUUUUGACGUUACCAACAGAAUAAGCACCGUCUAACUCUGUGCCAGCAGCCGCGGUAACACCGAGGGUGCAAGGGUUAAUCGGAGUUACUGGGCGUAAAGCGCGCGUAGGUGGUUCAGUAAGAUGGGUGUGAAAUCCCCGGGCUUAACCUGGGAACUGCUUUCAUAACGGCUGGGCUAGAGUACGGUAGAGGGUAGUGGAAUUUCCUGUGUGACGGUGAAAUGCGUAGAUAUAGGAAGGAACACCAGUGGCGAAGGCGACUACCUGGACUGAUACUGACACUGAGGUGCGAAAGCGUGGGGAGCAAACA
rnacentral:rRNA from 1 species